UACGUAGGGGGCAAGCGUUUGUCCGGAUUUAUUGGGCGUAAAGAGCGUGUAGGCGGCCAGAUAGGUCAGCUGUGAAAACUCGAGGCUCAACCUCGAGAUGUCGGCUGAAACCAUCUGGCUAGAGUCCGGAAGAGGAGAGUGGAAUUCCUGGUGUAGCGGUGAAAUGCGCAGAUAUCAGGAAGAACACCCGUGGCGAAGGCGGCUCUCUGGGACGGUACUGACGCUGAGGCACGAAAGCGUGGGGAGCAAACAGG
rnacentral:rRNA from 1 species